rnacentral:sRNA from 1 species
AGCAAAAACUGCAGGACGCAUGCAAGGGACGCAAAGGCACGCCAGACAUGGCGUCGUUCGAGGUGGUCUUCGAAAAGACCAGCACCAACC